rnacentral:rRNA from 1 species
UCAAGCGCGAGAAGGGCGUUUGGUGGAUGCCUUGGCAGUAAGAGGCGAUGAAGGACGUGAUACUCUGCGAUAAGUCAUGGGGAGCUGAGAAUAAGCUUUGAACCAUGAAUUUCCGAAUGGGGCAACCCACCUGAUAUUCUACUAUUGUUGCACUUCGGUGCAUUCAAUAGUCGGGUAAACCAGGUAUUUAUAACUUGAAUACAUAGGGUUAUAAAAGCAAACCCGGGGAACUGAAACAUCUAAGUACCCGGAGGAAAGGACAUCAAUUAGAUACUCCCCUAGUAGCGGCGAGCGAACGGGGAUCAGCCGAACCAUAAAUGUGACUAGAAUAUGUUGGAAAGCAUAACCAGAGUGGGUGACAGUCCCGUAUAGGAAGCAUGAUUGGACGUAUUAAGUAGGGCGGGACACGUGAAAUCCUGUUCGAAGAUCGGAGGACCACCUCCGAAGGCUAAGUACUCCUUACUGACCGAUAGUGAACCAGUACCGUGAGGGAAAGGUGAAAAGCACCCCGACGAGGGGAGUGAAACAGUUUCUGAAACCGGACGCCUACAAUCAGUCGGAGGCCCCUUGAGGGCUGACGGCGUACCUUUUGUAUAAUGGGUCAUCGACUUAGUGUAUCUAGCAAGCUUAAGCCGUUAGGUGUAGGCGCAGCGAAAGCGAGUCUUAAUAGGGCGAAUGAGUUAGAUGGAUCAGACCCGAAACCGAGUGAUCUAGGCAUGACCAGGUUGAAGGUAAGGUAACACUUACUGGAGGACCGAACCCACAUCUGUUGAAAAAGAUCGGGAUGACUUGUGCCUAGGGGUGAAAGGCCAAUCAAACUCGGAGAUAGCUGGUUCUCCGCGAAAUCUAUUUAGGUAGAGCGUCAUCCGAAUACCCCGGGGGGUAGAGCACUGGAUGGGUAAUGGGGCCCCACAGGCUUACUGAUCCUAACCAAACUCCGAAUACCCGGGAGUAAUAGAUGGCAGACACACUGCGGGUGCUAACGCCCGUAGUGAAAAGGGAAACAACCCUGACCGACAGUUAAGGCCCCUAAUUCAUGGCUAAGUGGGAAAGCAGGUGGGACGACCAAAACAACCAGGAAGUUGGCUUAGAAGCAGCCAUCUUUUAAAGAUAGCGUAACAGCUCACUGGUCUAAAUAAGUUGUCCUGCGGCGAAGAUGUAACGGGGCUCAAGCCAUGAGCCGAAGCUUAGGAUGCAUUUAAUGCAUGGUAGCGGAGCGUAGUGUGACAUAGCACCGUUCCUCUUUUGCGGUUUGGUAUGAGCAAUCAUACCCUGCGUAAUGGAGGAUAUGGUGUUUUCUGUGAAGCCGGGCUGUAAGGCAUCCGGUGGAGAGAUCACUAGUGAGAAUGAUGACAUGAGUAACGACAAAGGGGGUGAGAGACCCCCUCGCCGAAAAUCCAAGGGUUCCUGCUUAAAGCUAAUCUGAGCAGGGUGAGCCGACCCCUAAGUCGAGGCCGAAAGGCGUAGACGAUGGGAACCAGGUUAAUAUUCCUGGGCCAGGAGGAAGUGACGGAUCAUGAAGAUUGUUGGAUCAGGCGUAGUUGCCCCAGCAGUUAAUUGGUUCCUGGAAAUAGCCCUCCAUCAGACCGUACCCUAAACCGACACAGGUGGAUAGGUAGAGUAUACCAAGGCGCUUGAGAGAACUAUGUUGAAGGAACUCGGCAAAAUACCUCCGUAAGUUCGCGAGAAGGAGGCCCGGUUUCUAGGCAACUGGAAGCUGGGGGCACAAACCAGGGGGUGGCGACUGUUUACUAAAAACACAGGGCUCUGCGAAGUCGCAAGACGACGUAUAGGGUCUGACGCCUGCCCGGUGCCUGAAGGUUAAAAGGAGGGGUGAGAGCUCCGAAUUGAAGCCCAGGUAAACGGCGGCCGUAACUAUAACGGUCCUAAGGUAGCGAAAUUCCUUGUCGGG